rnacentral:rRNA from 1 species
GAUUAACGCUAGCGGCAGGCAUAAUACAUGCAAGUUGAACGGCAGCACAGGUAGCAAUACUGGGUGGCGAGUGGCGCACGGGUGCGUAACACGUAUGCAACCUACCCUAUACAGGCGAAUAACCUUUAGAAAUGAGGGCUAAUACGCCGUAGUAUUACAGAUGGGCAUCUAUUUGUAAUUAAAGAUUUAUCGGUAUAGGAUGGGCAUGCGUCCCAUUAGUUAGUUGGUAAGGUAACGGCUUACCAAGACGAUGAUGGGUAGGGGAUCUGAGAGGACUUACCCCCACACUGGUACUGAGACACGGACCAGACUCCUACGAGAGGCAGCAGUAAGGAAUAUUGGGCAAUGGCCGCGAGGCUGACCCAGCCAUGCCGCGUGCAGGAAGACGGCCUUAUGGGUUGUAAACUGCUUUUAUACGGGAAUAAUAGAGUGUACGCGUACAUUUAUGCAAGUAUCGUAUGAAUAAGCAUCGGCUAACUCCGUG